rnacentral:rRNA from 1 species
UACGUAGGGUGCAAGCGUUGUCCGGAAUUACUGGGCGUAAAGAGCUCGUAGGUGGUUUGUCGCGUUGUUCGUGAAAACUCACAACUCAAUUGUGGGCGUGCGGGCGAUACGGGCAGACUGGAGUACUGCAGGGGAGACUGGAAUUCCUGGUGUAGCGGUGAAAUGCGCAGAUAUCGGGAAGAACACCCGUGGCGAAGGCGGCUCUCUGGUACGUGACUGACGCUGAGACGCGAAAGCGUGGGGAGCAAACAGG